rnacentral:lncRNA from 1 species
AAACAAGAGCACAGGUUGCUUUGGGAUCAUAAAAGAGCAGGAGAGAAAGGCUUCUGGGGGCUCUCGGAAGAUGGAUGUCAACGCAGAGUUUUCAAGGCUGAGUACGGGUUAGCCAGGAGAAAGAAGAGAAGGUGGAGAGAGCAACACGGCAGAUACAAGGAAGGAAGUGCUGGCUUGGGAACUGCAGGUGCUGGGUAGCCAGAGCUGGGAAGGAGUGAGCAGCAGCAUGGUGUGGGCAUUCUGGUGUGGGGAAACCAGAUCAUGAAAUGCCAUUUUAAGGAGUUUGGAUUUUAUCCUGAAAACAAUCAGCAAAUCAAGCAUAUGCAAAUCAAGAAGUGAUUUGAUCGAAUCUGAUGAGAAAGCCACUUUUGACAAUGUGGACAGGAGAUGGGGCAGAUAUAAUACUAUAUUGAGGUAACGGUGGAAGGCUAGAUAGGAGACUGGUCAUCCUUAUGGGGGAUAACCAAGUAAUGCUAAGAAGUGAAGCGAACCAGUUGAAAGAAACGUGGGCCUAGGGUUGCCAGAUACUCUGGUUUCUCUUUUUUCUUUUUCAAAGACGGGGUCUCUCUCUGUCGCCCAGGCUGGGGUGCAGUGGCGCAAUCAUAGCUCCCUGCAGCCUGGAACUCCUGGGCUCAAGCAGUCCUCCUUCCUCAGCCUCCUGAAUAGCUGGGACUACAGGUGCGAGCCACCACACCUAGCUAUGAUAUUUUGAUUUUUUAAAAGAAGCUAGGAUCUGCAUUUUUAAGCACUACUUCCAAAUUUUUAAACGUUGGCAACAAAUUUUUUAAACUUUCAACUUUGCACAGGCCAAACACAGCUUGUCUGUAGGCUGAAGGUGGCCCUUGAGUUGCUAGUUUGCAAACCCAGGCUUAAACUACAGCAGCGGUUGAAGAGAACAAGGAGGCUCAGAUUACAGCAAUGUGAAGGCAACAGAAUCAGCACUACUCUAUAAAGGACUGACUGUGGCAAGUGAGGGAGAAAGAGCGAUCAAGAAUAACUCCGUGAAAAACUAAUGACUCUAUAUUAAAAUAAUAUAUGGCUUUUAGGUAUUUUCAAACUUGACAAAAGUGUUU